UCCAGUAGUGCUGAGAUACUGCAUGCAAUGGGUCGACCUAUAGCACCCAAGAUGAGCAGGAUAUCAACUAUGGAUUAUCACACGGCCGACCCCAUCGUUCAAAUGCAGUUGUCUGGGGAUAUGGCCGCCAACAGGGAAGCUCAAAGGAAGGCUACACACAAUGAAGGUGCUGCAAAUUCAAUACUGAAAGUUAUAGUGUACAACAGAUGUACAUGUACUUACGUAGUCAUAAUCACAUUUCCCACAAAAUACAAAUUUGUCACUUCUAAAACUAAUAACUUAUUUGCUGUGUGGGGGCUAUCCAUCCAUGCUGUAAACGUCUAAGUAUGCCUUGAUUUUCAUUUUAUACUGUACAGUAGGUGUGUGUGUGUGUGUGUGUGUGUGUGUGUGUGUGUGAGGUCAAGAUUCAUUUAUUUUGCCAAUUGGCUCAGCUUCAUUGUACAUGCCCUAAACACGAUAAUUACCAGUUGUUGUUGUUCUUCCCACGCCCAAUUGAGCGUCGGCGUCGGGACAGGAUCAACGAGCUCAUCAAGGUACUGGCUCAGAUAGUGCCUGCUUUUCAGAAGAAAGACGCAACUACUGGUUCCAUUGUCGGGUAUGUGUACAGCAAGGGAACGGUACUGGACAAGACAGUGGACUACUUGAAAGAGCUCGUGUUUCAAAAUGAACAACUCACAGCCAGUGCCAAAAUCGCAGAGAAAUCUUUAGCAAUGCUUCAAAACCAGAUCCAAGUCCUAGAGAAAGAGAACGCAUUUCUUCAAGCACAGAUUAUCCAGUUUGGAAUUGAUGUAGCUGCCUCCUCUGGUCAGAAGCAACCUAACCAGCAACUUCUAAACUCUCCUCUGGCCCAGAAUCUCCCCUUCACUUACUAUAGCUAUACAUUGUCAGUAUUAUUAUGUAUACCACACAUAGUUUUUAUACAUGAUAUUUGUCUUAUUGAACCUGAGCAUAAUAAAAAUUGUGAACAAAGCUACGCCCAUUAUAAUUAUGUGCAGUCUAGCCUCCAUCUCAAGCCGCACUUCCUCGAAAAUUGGCCUGGUAGUAUACGCUGCUUGUGCAUGCGCUAACCCACCGCUGUUUCACAACAAUGAAGCUAUCGAUUUAAUGUGCUUGAUCGCUGACUGGAAUGAGCCUUUUGCUGGUCUGCCAGGUGUGUAGGAUUGUUUCUUUGGCCUCCCACCAACACUGUGAGUGCUAACGCUUAAACAAACUGAGCAAUUAACACUGUGUGCAGACCAGGUCGCAAUCGUUUUUUGUGGAUUAUAAUCUUUUCCGUCUCUAGUGUGCUUAAUAGUAUGAUAAAUAAUGUUAUUGCAUGGGUGACAAUAUGAUUGGGGAUGAAUUGCGUCCACAUCUUCGUUCACUUCUAUCCCAAAAACCUCCAGAAGAUCAACCUUUCUGUCUGAACAGGAAUACUUAUGGCCUUGAGGACCUUUCUUGUUCCUGAAAUAAGACCCACACACCCGACAGUGCUUGGAGAGUGCUACAAGGUGCUCAUCAUCCAUUCCUGAAUGUAUUAUUUGUUGUUAGUCUUUAACCAUACUAUGUGAGUAUAUAUAAAUCAUUAUUGUAUUGAAGUCGUAAUUAUUUUUUGUCAAUUUUUGGUCAAUUUUCAAUCCUAAUUAAUAUUUGUUGCAAAAAAAAGUGAAGUUACCUGUUGCUGUCAAAUAGUAGUAUGAGACUUCCUCUUGGGAUUGCUGCAGAGAUCACUUAAAGAAAAACUCUUUUGUUGUCAGGAAUUAGUGGUCAAAACAUCUACUUAGCACCUUGUAGUUGACCAUUAAUUAAGUGCAGUGUAGUUUGCAGGUGCGCAUGGGCAGCCUAAUGACUGUUGCUAUGCGCAUUUGGUGUCAUUCAGUAGAGGACAAGGUGCACAUGACUGUCACUCUGCUUUCAUGUGAUUUAGAUGAAUAACUAAGCAGUUGCCAUGGGUAUAAAUAUUUCAUAAUACAAGAAAUUUACAGAUGUAAAACCACACCCACUUUCCAAUAUUUCAUUGAGUUGCAUUCUGUUCUAAUUACCAACUAAGUAGCAGUCUUGAAACAGCGGUGAACCAUAAUUAUGCUACUGAACAUGAAAACUGUGCUGAUGAAGAACCUUCAUCAAGAACAAGAACACUGACUCAGGACGAGGAGGACUUUGACAAGUUCCUGGAGAGUGCCAAAGCUCAGCAGCUCUCACCCUCCACAAUUAAAAGUUCCCGAGCCCCACCCCUCACUGUCUGACUUGAAAGAGGAGAUAGACUUUGGAUUCUGGGAGAAGGCGUCCACCCUACCCUCGGACAAGACCCCAACCAAGGACCUGAACUUGUUAUGAGACUGUUAAUAUUAUUUUGUCUGUUUUUGUACUAUUUUCUGGCAAUGUAAUUAUGUAUGUACCACUUCAUGUCAUCAUAAUAACUAUAAUUAAAAGUCUGU